rnacentral:tRNA from 1 species
GCCGAGGUGUUGGAAUGGCAGACAAUCCGGUCUCAAAAACCGGUGAGGGCGACCUCGUGCGGGUUCAAGUCCCGCCCUCGGCA